CAAUUGUUGCAACUUCUUUUUCAUAAUCGUAGUUUUUCUUCAUUGAUCAUAAUGGGUGGAAAGAGUUCUCCAACGAUGUUUUGUUUGGUUCUAGCCUUCUUACUUUAUGCAUCUAUUUAGUAUAAUUUUAUUAUAUAUAAAUCUCUACAACUUAUGGCAAAUGAGGAGGUCAAGUCAACUGAGUUGAAUGUUUUACAACUUCCGGCAUCAAAAGACCUUGACGCCGAAAAAGUUGAUGAAUUUGUUCAAGUGGUUGCGACUCGUUAUGGACCCUUCUAUUUUAGUCGUCCUAGAAAACUUGGAUGUUUGUACACUAGGUGUUGUUUGACAGACAACGACUGUAUUGGUGCAUCUUGUGGCCCCAAGUGUCACCCUGGUUCCUGGGAGUGUUCCGUUUUCAGCCCCCAUGGCACCUGUGGUUCAUAAUUAUUAAAAUAAAAUUUGUAUCGAGGUUCGUACAAAAUACUAAAAUAAGAUUUGUACUGAAGUUGAGGUCGCAAACAAUCAUUAUGAUUAUGUAGAUAUAUCAACUUCUAGAACCUAUGAUGUGGUAAUGUAUUUUUAAAUAUUUCUCCUAAUUUUGAGUUGUUUUUUAUUGGAU